rnacentral:lncRNA from 1 species
GAUAAAUUGGACAUAAUGAAAGAGAUAAAUAAGAGAUUAGAUGCUAUUGAAAUCCUUCAAUCUAUCCUAGAUACACCCGAGCAAACAUCAAAGAGAAAAAUGAUAGCCAUGAUAGGACAAGAUAGUAAUUCAGAAGAAUAGAAUAGUGAGGAGGAAUCAAGCAGAGACUUAGAAAUAAAUAAAAUCCUGAAUUGGAGAAGGCUCCAAAAACUAUAUUACCCA